AGGACGAACGCUGGCGGCGUGCUUAACACAUGCAAGUCGAGCGGAAAGGCCCUUCGGGGUACUCGAGCGGCGAACGGGUGAGUAACACGUGAGUAAUCUGCCCCUAGCUCUGGGAUAGCUCCGGGAAACCGGGAUUAAUACCGGAUACGACCACUUUAGACAUCUGUUGUGGUGGAAAGAAUUUUGGCUAGGGAUGAGCUCGCGGCCUAUCAGCUUGUUGGUGGGGUAACGGCCUACCGAAGGCGACGGACGGGUA
rnacentral:rRNA from 1 species